AACGAACGCUGGCGGCAGGCUUAACACAUGCAAGUCGAACGCGUGCAGCAAUGCACGAGUGGCGCACGGGUGAGUAACGAGUGGAUAUCUGCCUUUUGGUUCGGAAUAACCCCGGGAAACUGGGGCUAAUACCGGAUGGUUCCUACGGGAUAAAGAUUUAUCGCCAAAAGAUGAGUCCGCGUCCGAUUAGCUAGUUGGUGAGGUAAUGGCUCACCAAGGCGACGAUCGGUAGCUGGUCUGAGAGGACGAUCAGCCACACUGGGACUGAGACACGGCCCAGACUCCUACGGGAGGCAGCAGUGGGGAAUAUUGGACAGUGGGGGCAACCCUGAUCCAGCCAUGCCGCGUGAGUGAUGAAGGCCUUCGGGUUGUAAAGCUCUUUUGGCGGGGACGAUGAUGACGGUACCCGCAGAAUAAGCCCCGGCUAACUUCGUG
rnacentral:rRNA from 1 species